AUGGACUUCACCUACAACGCGAUAUAUUACGACUACGAUUCGCAUCCAGAUAAUGCAGAAUUGAAGUCAUUUUCAGAUUUUCUAACUAAAAUAAAUAACUUCUCAUCCAAAUAUCAGUGCGUAUUCUCUUGCAGCGGGCUUCUAAUUAAUCUAGUACAUCUUAUCAUAAUCACCCGCAAGUCAUUAAGAGUUAACAGUGUUUAUGUGAUCAUGAUAGGCAUUACAUUGAGUGAUUUGUAUACUAUGUUCCAUGUUGUUUAUGUUUUUUUGGAUAAUAUUGUUUCUAAUUAUAACUGGUAUGAAUGCUUUCAAGUAUGCACUGAACAAGAAUGUUUCAAGUUUCACAAGUACCAGUACCAUGGAUAUUUGCAUGUUGUAGUUGAACUUAUUAUGAGCGCACUUAGAGAAGCCCUUCGCCGCCUGUCAACGUGGCUUGCGUUUUGUAUGGCCUUAUUUCGAUGGCUCAUUAUUCGGAACUCGAUGAACGCAAAAUUUGACUUUCUUUCAAGGCCGUCAUUUGCAUUUAAAACAGUCUUGACAUUGCUGCUUAUAAGUCCCAUUAUAACAUUUCUAAGCUUUGGCCAACACACAGUCACAGAUAACGGUUUUGUAGAUGUUAGUCAGUGUUCCGGUAUACCCGAUUAUAUUGUACCGCACACUUAUAUAAUUAAAAAAGAUUAUCCCAGCUGUCUGUCUCCCAUUUCUAUGCAUUGUUCUUGUAACUUGCCUCAGAACAGCGCGUGAAUCACGCAAAAACCUAUCGAAAAGCUCUUCCAACAAUGAUCGAACUAUUUAUAUGGUAACUAUAAUGACCGCAUUUUCGGUGUUUGCAGAAGGACCCAGUGGGAUUAGUUAUUUAUUCAAAGCAUUAUAUUAUGAUCACAAUGCUAUAAAAAGCGCAUUGCAAACCCUCGACGAAAUUCUGAUCAAUGCAGCUAUUCUCAAUUCAAUUGUUCAUGUUAUAAUCAGUUUGGUGGUCUCUACACAAUAUCGAGAAACCGCGAAAAAGUUAUUUGGGUGUAAAAGAUGUUUUAGAAAAAUUGUUGUGGCGAAAGACUCUCUGAACACUGUGGAGAUUGUGGUUCCAGCAUUACAUGGAACGUUUUCAAAUGUUGAUUAG
rnacentral:misc_RNA from 1 species